rnacentral:rRNA from 1 species
GAUGAACGCUGGCGGCGUGCCUAAUACAUGCAAGUCGAGCGAACGGACGAGAAGCUUGCUUCUCUGAUGUUAGCGGCGGACGGGUGAGUAACACGUGGAUAACCUACCUAUAAGACUGGGAUAACUUCGGGAAACCGGAGCUAAUACCGGAUAAUAUUUUGAACCGCAUGGUUCAAAAGUGAAAGACGGUCUUGCUGUCACUUAUAGAUGGAUCCGCGCUGCAUUAGCUAGUUGGUAAGGUAACGGCUUACCAAGGCAACGAUGCAUAGCCGACCUGAGAGGGUGAUCGGCCACACUGGAACUGAGACACGGUCCAGACUCCUACGGGAGGCAGCAGUAGGGAAUCUUCCGCAAUGGGCGAAAGCCUGACGGAGCAACGCCGCGUGAGUGAUGAAGGUCUUCGGAUCGUAAAACUCUGUUAUUAGGGAAGAACAUAUGUGUAAGUAACUGUGCACAUCUUGACGGUACCUAAUCAGAAAGCCACGGCUAACUACGUGCCAGCAGCCGCGGUAAUACGUAGGUGGCAAGCGUUAUCCGGAAUUAUUGGGCGUAAAGCGCGCGUAGGCGGUUUUUUAAGUCUGAUGUGAAAGCCCACGGCUCAACCGUGGAGGGUCAUUGGAAACUGGAAAACUUGAGUGCGGAAGAGGAAAGUGGAAUUCCAUGUGUAGCGGUGAAAUGCGCAGAGAUAUGGAGGAACACCAGUGGCGAAGGCGACUUUCUGGUCUGUAACUGACGCUGAUGUGCGAAAGCGUGGGGAUCAAACAGGAUUAGAUACCCUGGUAGUCCACGCCGUAAACGAUGAGUGCUAAGUGUUAGGGGGUUUCCGCCCCUUAGUGCUGCAGCUAACGCAUUAAGCACUCCGCCUGGGGAGUACGACCGCAAGGUUGAAACUCAAAGGAAUUGACGGGGACCCGCACAAGCGGUGGAGCAUGUGGUCUAAUUCGAAGCAACGCGAAGAACCUUACCAAAUCUUGACAUCCUUUGACAACUCUAGAGAUAGAGCCUUCCCCUUCGGGGGACAAAGUGACAGGUGGUGCAUGGUUGUCGUCAGCUCGUGUCGUGAGAUGUUGGGUUAAGUCCCGCAACGAGCGCAACCCUUAAGCUUAGUUGCCAUCAUUAAGUUGGGCACUCUAAGUUGACUGCCGGUGACAAACCGGAGGAAGGUGGGGAUGACGUCAAAUCAUCAUGCCCCUUAUGAUUUGGGCUACACACGUGCUACAAUGGACAAUACAAAGGGCAGCGAAACCGCGAGGUCAAGCAAAUCCCAUAAAGUUGUUCUCAGUUCGGAUUGUAGUCUGCAACUCGACUACAUGAAGCUGGAAUCGCUAGUAAUCGUAGAUCAGCAUGCUACGGUGAAUACGUUCCCGGGUCU